AGGGAAUAUUAGAAAUGGACGAAAGUCUGAUCUAGCAACACCGCGUGUGCGAAGAAGGCCUUCGGGUCGUAAAGCACUUUUUGGAAGGAAUAGGAAGGAAUGUACUUCCAGAAUAAGUCUCGGCUAACUACGUGCCAGCAGCCGCGGUAACACGUAGGAGGCAAACGUUAUCCGGAUUUACUGGGCGUAAAGCGCGUGUAGGUGGUACUGUAAGUAGGGCGUGAAAGCUCCUGGCUCAACUGGGAGAGGCCGUUCUAAACUACAGAACUAGAGGAUGGUAGAGGGAGGUGGAAUUCCAGGUGUAGCGGUGGAAUGCGCAGAUAUCUGGAGGAACACCGGUGGCGAAGGCGGCCUCCUGGACCAUUCCUGACACUCAGACGCGAAAGCUAGGGUAGCAAACG
rnacentral:rRNA from 1 species